rnacentral:rRNA from 1 species
GACGAACGCUGGCGGCGCGCCUAACACAUGCAAGUCGAACAAGCGAGAGAGAGCUUGCUUUCUCGAGCGAGUGGCGAACGGGUGAGUAACGCGUGAGGAAUCUGCCUCAAAGAGGGGGACAACAGUUGGAAACGACUGCUAAUACCGCAUAAGCCCACGGUGCCGCAUGGCACAGAGGGAAAAGGAGUAAUCCGCUUUGAGAUGGCCUCGCGUCCGAUUAGCUAGUUGGUGAGGUAACGGCCCACCAAGGCGACGAUCGGUAGCCGGACUGAGAGGUUGAACGGCCACAUUGGGACUGAGACACGGCCCAGACUCCUACGGGAGGCAGCAGUGGGGAAUAUUGCACAAUGGGGGAAACCCUGAUGCAGCGACGCCGCGUGGAGGAAGAAGGUCUUCGGAUUGUAAACUCCUGUUGUUGGGGAAGAUAAUGACGGUACCCAACAAGGAAGUGACGGCUAACUACGUGCCAGCAGCCGCGGUAAAACGUAGGUCACAAGCGUUGUCCGGAAUUACUGGGUGUAAAGGGAGCGCAGGCGGGAAGACAAGUUGGAAGUGAAAUCUAUGGGCUCAACCCAUAAACUGCUUUCAAAACUGUUUUUCUUGAGUAGUGCAGAGGUAGGCGGAAUUCCCGGUGUAGCGGUGGAAUGCGUAGAUAUCGGGAGGAACACCAGUGGCGAAGGCGGCCUACUGGGCACCAACUGACGCUGAGGCUCGAAAGUGUGGGUAGCAAACAAGAUUAGAUACCCUGGUAGUCCACACCGUAAACGAUGAUUAUUAGGUGUUGGAGGAUUGACCCCUUCAGUGCCGCAGUUAACACAAUAAGUAAUCCACCUGGGGAGUACGACCGCAAGGUUGAAACUCAAAGGAAUUGACGGGGGCCCGCACAAGCAGUGGAGUAUGUGGUUUAAUUCGACGCAACGCGAAGAACCUUACCAAGUCUUGACAUCCCUUGACAGGCAUAGAAAUAUGUUUUCUCUUCGGAGCAAGGAGACAGGUGGUGCAUGGUUGUCGUCAGCUCGUGUCGUGAGAUGUUGGGUUAAGUCCCGCAACGAGCGCAACCCUUAUGGUCAGUUACUACGUAAGAGGACUCUGGCCAGACUGCCGUUGACAAAACGGAGGAAGGUGGGGAUGACGUCAAAUCAUCAUGCCCUUUAUGACUUGGGCUACACACGUACUACAAUGGCGCUAAGCAAAGAGAAGCAAGACCGCGAGGUGGAGCAAAACUCAGAAACAACGUCCCAGUUCGGACUGCAGGCUGCAACUCGCCUGCACGAAGUCGGAAUUGCUAGUAAUCGUGGAUCAGCAUGCCACGGUGAAUACGUUCCCGGGCCUUGUACA